rnacentral:rRNA from 1 species
AACGAACGCUGGCGGCAUGCCUAACACAUGCAAGUCGAACGAGACCUUCGGGUCUAGUGGCGCACGGGUGCUUAACGCGUGGUAACCUGCCCUUAGGUUCGGAAUAACUCCCCUAAAGGGGUGCUAAUACCGGUUAAUGUCUUCGGACCUAAGAUUUAUCGCCUUUGGAUGGGCCCGCGUUGGAUUAGCUGGUUGGUAGGGUAAAAGCCUACCAAGGCGACGAUCCAUAGCUGGUCUGUGAGGAUGAUCAGCCACACUGGGACUGAGACACGGCCCAGACUCCUAGGGGAGGGAGCAGUGGGGAAUAUUGGACAAUGGGCGAAAGCCUGAUACAGCAAUGCCGGGUGAGUGAUGAAGGCCUUAGGGUUGUAAAGCUCUUUUACACGGGAUGAUAAUGACAGUACCGGGAGAAUAAGCACCGGCUAACUACGUG